rnacentral:rRNA from 1 species
AACGCUGGCGGCAGGCCUAACACAUGCAAGUCGAGCGGAAACAGGAANGUAGCUGCUACUUUCGCUGUCGAGCGGCGGACGGGUGAGUAAUGCCUAGAUAUCUGCCUAGUCGUGGGGAUAACAGUUGGAAACGACUGCUAAUACCGCAUACGCCCUACGGGGGAAAGGAGGGACCUUCGGGCCUUUCGCGAUUAGAUGAGUCUAGGUGGGAUUAGCUAGUAGGUGAGGUAAGGCUCACCUAGGCGACGAUCCCUAGCUGGUCUGAGAGGAUGAUCAGCCACACUGGAACUAGACACGGUCCAGACUCCUACGGGAGGCAGCAGUGGGGAAUAUUGCACAAUGGGCGAAACCUGAUGCAGCCAUGCCGCGUGUGUGAAGAAGGCCUUCGGGUUGUAAAGCACUUUCAGCAGGAGGAAAGGUAGGUAGUUAAUAACUGCUUACUGUGACGUUACUCGCAGAAGAAGCACCGGCUAACUUCGUGCCAGCGCCGCGGUAAUACGAGGGGUGCAAGCGUUAAUCGGAAUUACUGGGCGUAAAGCGUACGCGGCGGUUUGUUAAGCCANAUGUGAAAGCCCUGGGCUCAACCUAGNAAUUGCAUUUGGAAUGACAGACUANAGUCUUGUANAGGGGGGUAGAAUUUCAGGUGUAGCGGUGAAAUGCGUAAGAUCUGAAGGAAUACCGGUGGCGAAGGCGGCCCCCUGGACAAAGACUGACGCUCAUGUCGAAAGCGUGGGGAGCAAACAGGAUUAGAUACCCUGGUAGUCCACGCCGUAAACGAUGUUACUCGGAGUUUGGUAACUUAGUUAUGGGCUCCCAAGCUAACGCAUUAAGUAGACCGCCUGGGGAGUACGGCCGCAAGGUUAAACUCAAAUGAAUUGACGGGGGCCCGCACAAGCGGUGGAGCAUGUGGUUUAAUUCGAUGCACGCGAAGAACCUUACCUACUCUUGACAUCCACAGAACUUACCAGAGAUGGUUUGGUGCCUCGGGAACUGUGAGACAGGUGCUGCAUGGCUGUCGUCAGCUCGUGUUGUGAAAUGUUGGUUAAGUCCCGCAACGAGCGCAACCCUUAUCCUUAUUUGCCAGCGAGUUAUGUCGGGAACUUUAGGAGACUGCCGGUGAUAAACCGGAGGAAGGUGGGGACGACGUCAAGUCAUCAUGGCCCUACGAGUAGGGCUACACACGUGCUACAAUGGUCGGUACAGAGGGUCGCAAAGCCGCGAGGGGAGCUAAUCCCACAAAGCCGGUCGUAGUCCGGAUCGGAGUCUGCAACUCGACUCCGUGAGUCGGAAUCGCUAGUAAUCGUGGAUCAGAAUGCCACGGUGAAUACGUUCCCGGGCCUUUACACACCGCCCGUCACACCAUGGGAGUGGGCUGCACCAGAAGUAGAUAGCUUAACCNUCGGGGAGGGCGUUUACCACGGUGUGGUUCAUGACUGGGGUGAAGUCGUAACAAGGUAG